rnacentral:rRNA from 1 species
AUACAUGCUACAAGCCCUGACUUCGGAAGGGGCGUAUUUAUUAGAUUAAAAACCAAUGCCCUCUGGGCUCCUUGGUGAAUCAUGAUAACUUCACGAAUCGCACGGCCCUUGCGCCGGCGAUGGCUCAUUCAAAUUUCUUCCCUAUCAACUUUCGAUGUUUGGGUAGUGGCCAAACAUGGUUGCAACGGGUAACGGAGGGUUAGGGCUCGACCCCGGAGAAGGAGCCUGAGAAACGGCUACUACAUCCAAGGAAGGCAGCAGGCGCGCAAAUUACCCAAUCCCGAUUCGGGGAGGUAGUGACAAUAAAUACUGAUACAGGGCUCUUUCGGGUCUUGUAAUCGGAAUGAGUACAAUUUAAAUCCCUUAACGAGGAACAAUUGGAGGGCAAGUCUGGUGCCAGCAGCCGCGGUAAUUCCAGCUCCAAUAGCGUAUAUUAAAGUUGUUGUGGUUAAAAAGCUCGUAGUUGAACCUUGGGCCUGGCUGGCCGGUCCGCCUCACCGCGUGUACUGGUCCGGCCGGGCCUUUCCCUCUGUGGAACCUCAUGCCCUUCACUGGGUGUGCUGGGGAAACAGGACUUUUACUUUGAAAAAAUUAGAGUGCUCCAGGCAGGCCUAUGCUCGAAUACAUUAGCAUGGAAUAAUAAAAUAGGACGUGCGGUUCUAUUUUGUUGGUUUCUAGGACCGCCGUAAUGAUUAAUAGGGACAGUCGGGGGCAUCAGUAUUCAAUUGUCAGAGGUGAAAUUCUUGGAUUUAUUGAAGACUAACUACUGCGAAAGCAUUUGCCAAGGAUGUUUUCAUUAAUCAGGAACGAAAGUUAGGGGAUCGAAAACGAUCAGAUACCGUUGUAGUCUUAACCAUAAACUAUGCCGACUAGGGAUCGGACGAUGUUAUUUUUUGACUCGUUCGGCACCUUACGAGAAAUCA